GUCCAUGUGGCUGUUAAAGCUGCUGCCACAAUCAGUCUGUUUGUGGCUGUGGUCAUAGUUGUGGUCAUCCACAGGAAGAGAUCAGGGGACCCCCAGGGCAAACCCAACACCUUGGCUCCAAGUGUUCGAUCAGCUGCAACCAGCCAGUCCUUGUAGCCUUGUUCUCCUUAUGGGCUCUUUAGACCCAGCUGUUCACAGAGUCUCCAUCACCUGAGUGCACCUCCAUCCACCGCACAUUAGGAGCUACAGAAUGCCAGGCUGGGGUUUAGGGAGUUAACAGUGUAACUGCUUUAAGUUCUGAAAGUCUGAAAACCUCUCCGAGUGUGUAAGUCCCAUCAUGUCUCUUGUAGUUUUGUAUAACUGAAUGCAAAGCUUCUUUGAAUGUAUACAUCUACUGUGUAGAUGAAGGGAGUGGGCCUGCUGUCUAACCCCUAUAAGACAUUCCUCUUUCACACAGCAUAUAUAGCUUUGUUUCUGUUUAGAUACAGACAAUGCAUUAUACACAUUUAAUACUUUAGCUCACUUACUUUUUAUAUGUACUUCAUAUAGUAUUGUCUGUAUAUGUCUUCAUAUGGAUUUGCUCACUGUUUUCAAAGGUAUGUUGUUGCUUAAAUAAAUAUCACCCGACAUCUUUUUUAUGUACUUGGACUACCACAUUAUCUGCUUUUUCAUAAUAGUCUGUGAGACAACACACGCGUGUGCUGACUAUGAGUUAAGUUUUUAAAAGUGGAAAUUGAAAAGCAUAUGGCUGAAAACCUGUAUGAGAACUGCUUUGUCUGCACUGUCUUUGGUAACCACUAGAGCACUGUUAUCUAAUGGAGGAACUAGCAGCUUAUUCACGUUA